rnacentral:rRNA from 1 species
UACGAAGGGGGCUAGCGUUGCUCGGAAUCACUGGGCGUAAAGCGCACGUAGGCGGAUUGUUAAGUCAGGGGGUGAAAUCCUGGAGCUCAACUCCAGAACUGCCUUUGAUACUGGCGAUCUCGAGUCCGGGAGAGGUGAGUGGAAUUCCUAGUGUAGAGGUGAAAUUCGUAGAUAUCAAGCGGAACACCGGUGGCGAAGGCGGCCUUCUGGACAGUGACUGACGUGAGAUGCGAAAGCGUGGGGGAGCAAACAGG